rnacentral:lncRNA from 1 species
AGUAGUUUUCUUCUGAAAGAAGAGCAUUUUAUAAUGGAAAACAUUCUUUGUUCUUUCUUGGGAAUCUGUUUUGAAUCUUUAUUCUUGCCUUUCCCCUCCCCAAAUUUGUCUUUCUUGCCACUCUCCUUUAUCUUCCUCUUGUCUCACUUCUUCCUCUCAUUUCAACACAUCUUUUCAUCAUUAGGUUGAUUUGUUUAUCCACUGGGGAAGUAUGAAAAUUUGCAUACUGGCAAGAGAAGGAGUCUUUUCCCACAAUACAGAAAGACUGGAAACAUUGAACUUCCAUUUUGCCCCCAUGCAGGUUGUGAGGAAAAAAAAAAGAAAGAAAGAUACAGAGAGAAAGAAAAGAAAAGUUCUCAUUCCUAGAUAAAUCUGAACAACCUGAUAUGGACCCAAACGGUACAGUAGAGGAAUAUUGUCGCCCUUUAAAGUUGGAAUGGUUGCAACUGGCUGCUUGUAAGAUUGUGUUUUUUCUGACCGUGGAAUUAUUGGCAUGCCUUUCCAGUGAUGAAGUUGGAAAGAACAGAAAUCAAGAAUAUUACACCAGGGGGUACAACUGCUGGAAAAAAAUCAAUAUCAUUUUAGGGGCAACAGCUAAUAUCACUUUUUUUUUUUUUUUGGUACUAAGGAUUGAACUCGGGACCUCGCACUUGCGAGACAGGCACUG